UCGUGGGGCACUCAGAUCCAGAUCGUAGGCGGAAUUGCUGCCCACGCUGCUGUUGCUCCCCGGUAGCUGUGGCGGCAGCAGCUGCUGCAUGGCCAUCUGCUGCUGCUGCUGUUGCUGCUGCGACUGUUGCUG
rnacentral:sRNA from 1 species